AAAAAGAAACUCGCUGGUUAUGGAGGAGAAUCUAAUCUAGCAUUAUCAUAAAAUAACAUGGAUUAAUUCACAACAAAAAAUCAAAGGUAUAACUUAUUUUCCGUAUCUAUCAAAACUAGCAUAGAACGAGAGAAAGCGAUUAGACACUAAACAUAGUUUUUACACAGCCCAAAUAGCAUAGCACAUCUCUACAGUAUGUUCAUUCAACUUGCAUAAAA